UGGGAGCAGCUUCUAGAUCGUAUCGAGUUACAGACCUGAAGCCAAGAGGGAUGUACUCAUUUUCAAUAAGGCCACUCUUCGGACAGACGGAGGGGCCAGAGGCGGUGCUUACUGAGCAGACUGUGGCAUCUCGAGGGAAUCCUUCCACUCCUGCUCCUACCAUUACUUCUUUACCGCCUGCCACUACGAGGCCCCGGUCCGUGGGCUCUAGCCAUGCAAGGGCCACUCCUCUUCCAUCAGCCACCACCAUGACAUUACGAAUGACCCCAGCAACCACAGUUGUGACAACUAAAGCGUCGCCACCAUUGACCACCCUCUCUGGGCCAAUCUGUGGCAAGUUCAAAGCGGACAUCGCGUUCCUGGUGGACGAGUCUUCAAGCAUUGGCCAGAGCAAUUUCAAUAAAGUGAAGGACUUCCUCUUCCGGAUCGUCUCCUAUUUCCCCAGAAUUGGGCCUGAGGGAACACAGGCAAGAGACCAUUAUUCUAUCUAUCUAUCUAUCUAUCUAUUGUAGGUACCUUUCUUCAUU
rnacentral:lncRNA from 1 species